CGAAAAACCUUACCAAGGUUUGACAUCCCUCGCAAAGCUAUAGAAAUAUAGUAGAGGUUAUCGAGGUGACAGGUGGUGCAUGGCUGUCGUCAGCUCGUGUCUUGAGAUGUUUGGUUAAGUCCCGCAACGAGCGCAACCCCACUCUUUAGUUACUUGUCUAAAGAGACUGCACAGUAAUGUAGAGGAAGGAUGGGAUCACGUCAAGUCAUCAUGCCCCUAAUGCCUUGGGCUGCAAACGUGCUACAAUGGCGAACACAAUGUGUUGCAAACCAGCGAUGGUAAGCUAAUCACCAAAUUUCGUCUCAGUUCGGAUAGGAGGCUGCAAUUCGCCUCCUUGAAGUU
rnacentral:rRNA from 1 species